GGGGGCGGUGGUGCAUGCCUGUAGCCCCAGCUACUUGGGAAGCUGAGGUGGAAGGAUUGCUUGAGCCCAGGAGUUCUGGGCUGUACUGCGCUAUGCCAAUCGGGUGUCCGCACUAAGUUUGGCACCAAUAUGGUGACCUCCCGGGAGCAGGGGACUACCAGGUUGCCUAAGGAGGGGUGAACCGGCCCAGGUCAGAAACGGAGCAGGUCAAAACUCCCGUGCUGAUCAGUAGUGGGAUCAUGCUUGUGAUUAGCCACUGCACUCCAGCCUGGGCAACAUAGCAAGACCCCAUCUCU
rnacentral:SRP_RNA from 1 species